AUUGAACGCUGGCGGCAGGCCUAACACAUGCAAGUCGAGCGGAGCGGCGGACGGGUGAGUAAUGCCUAGGAAUCUGCCUGGUAGUGGGGGAUAAAGUCCGGCAACGGGCGCUAAUACCGCAUACUAUCAGAUGAGCCUAGGUCGGAUUAGCUAGUUGGUGGGGUAAAGGCCUCCAAAGGCGACGAUCCGUAACUGGUCUGAGAGGAUGAUCAGUCAAACGGGAACUGGGACACGGUCCGGACUCUUACGGGAGGAGGCAGUGGGGAAUAUUGGACAAGGGGCGAAGGCCUGAUCCAGCCAUGCCGGGUGUGUGAAGAAGGUCUUCGGAUUGUAAAGCACUUUAAGUUGGGAGACGUUACCAACAGAAUAAGCACCGGCUAACUUCGUGCCAGCCGCCGCGUAAUAC
rnacentral:rRNA from 1 species